GAAACCAACAGGGAUUGCCCCAGUAACGGCGAGUGAAGCGGCAAGAGCUCAAAUUUGAAAUCUGGCCUCCUUCGGGGGUCCGAGUUGUAAUUUGUAGAGGAUGCUUCGGGUGUGGCCGCCGUCUAAGUUCCUUGGAACAGGRCGUCAGAGAGGGUGAGAAUCCCGUCUUGGGCGGCUGGUCCGCGCCCGUGUGAAGCUCCUUCGACGAGUCGAGUUGUUUGGGAAUGCAGCUCUAAGCGGGUGGUAAAUUUCAUCUAAAGCUAAAUACUGGUCGGAGACCGAUAGCGCACAAGUAGAGUGAUCGAAAGGUUAAAAGCACCUUGAAAAGGGAGUUAAACAGCACGUGAAAUUGUUGAAAGGGAAGCGCUUGCGGCCAGACUCGGGGGCGGGGUUCAGCGGGUGCUCGUCGCCCGUGCACUCCCCGUCUCCCGGGCCAGCAUCAGUUUCGACGGCCGGUCAAAGGCCCCCGGAAUGUGUCGUCUCCCGGGACGUCUUAUAGCCGGGGGUGCAAUGCGGCCCGUUGGGACUGAGGAACGCGCUCCGGCUCGGAUGCUGGCGUAAUGGCCGUAAGCGGCCCGUCUUGAAACACGGACCAAGG
rnacentral:rRNA from 1 species